rnacentral:rRNA from 1 species
UGGGGAAUAUUGCACAAUGGGGGAAACCCUGAUGCAGCAACGCCGCGUGAGUGACGAAGGCCUUCGGGUUGUAAAGCUCUGUCUUCACUGACGAAGUAUGACGGUAAGUGAGGAGGAAGCCACGGCUAACUACGUGCCAGCAGCCGCGGUAAUACGUAGGUGGCAAGCGUUGUCCGGAAUUAUUGGGCGUAAAGGAUGCGUAGGCGGUCUUUUAAGUGGGAUGUAAAAUACCUGGGCUUAACGCAGGGAUUGCAUUCCAAACUGGAAGACUAGAGUUCAGGAGAGGAAAGUGGAAUUCCCAGUGUAGCGGUGAAAUGCGUAGAGAUGGGGAGGAACACCAGUGGCGAAGGCGACUUUCUGGACUGUAACUGACGCUGAGGCGCGAAAGCGUGGGGAGCAAACA